rnacentral:rRNA from 1 species
UACAGAGGUCUCAAGCGUUGUUCGGAUUCAUUGGGCGUAAAGGGUGCGUAGGCGGCGCGGCAAGUCGGGUGUGAAAUCUCGGAGCUUAACUCCGAAACUGCAUUCGAUACUGCCGUGCUUGAGGACUGGAGAGGAGACUGGAAUUUACGGUGUAGCGGUGAAAUGCGUAGAUAUCGUAAGGAAGACCAGUGGCGAAGGCGGGUCUCUGGACAGUUCCUGACGCUGAGGCACGAAGGUCAGGGAGCAAACGGG